GACGUAGGUGGCAAACGUUAUCCGGAAUUAUUGGGCGUAAAGGGUGCGUAGACGGUCUGAUAAGUUAUUGGUGGCAAACCGAGGCUCAACCUCGUGGAAGCUAAUAAUACUGUUAGACUUAGAGGGCAGAAGAGGUUAACGGAAUUCUCUGUGGAGCGGUAAAAUGCGUAGAUAUAGAGAAGAACACCAAAAGGCGAAAGCAGUUAACUAUUCUGUUCCUGACGUUAAGGCACGAAAGCGUGGGGAGCAAAACGG
rnacentral:rRNA from 1 species